GACGAACGCUGGCGGCGUGCUUAACACAUGCAAGUCGAGCGGUAAGGCCCUUUCGGGGGUACACGAGCGGCGAACGGGUGAGUAACACGUGGGUGACCUGCCUUUAGCUCUGGGAUAAGCCUGGGAAACCGGGUCUAAUACCGGAUAUGACUCCGCGGCGCAUGUUGUGGGGUGGAAAGCCUUGUGCGGCUGGAGAUGGGCCCGCGGCCUAUCAGCUUGUUGGUGGGGUGAUGGCCUACCAAGGCGACGACGGGUAGCCGGCCUGAGAGGGCGACCGGCCACACUGGGACUGAGACACGGCCCAGACUCCUACGGGAGGCAGCAGUGGGGAAUAUUGGACAAUGGGGGCAACCCUGAUCCAGCAAUGCCGCGUGAGUGAUGAAGGCCUUAGGGUUGUAAAGCUCUUUCGCCCGCGACGAUGAUGACGGUAGCGGGAGAAGAAGCCCCGGCUAACUUCGUGCCAGCAGCAGCCGCUGUAAU
rnacentral:rRNA from 1 species